rnacentral:rRNA from 1 species
UGAUGUGGUUUAAUCGAUGCAACGCGAAAACCUUACCACCUUUGACAUGUACGGAAUCCUUUAGAGAUAGAGGAGUGCUCGAAAGAGAGCCGUAACACAGGUGCUGCAUGGCUGUCGUCAGCUCGUGUCGUGAGAUGUUGGGUUAAGUCCCGCAACGAGCGCAACCCUUGUCAUUAGUUGCUACAUUCAGUUGGGCACUCUAAUGAGACUGCCGGUGACAAACCGGAGGAAGGUGGGGAUGACGUCAAGUCCUCAUGGCCCUUAUAGGUGGGGCUACACACGUCAUACAAUGGAUGGUACAAAGGGUCGCCAACCCGCGAGGGGGAGCCAAUCCCAUAAAGCCAUUCGUAGUCCGGAUCGCAGUCUGCAACUCGACUGCGUGAAGUCGGAAUCGCUAGUAAUCGCGGAUCAGCAUGUCGCGGUGAAUACGUUCCCGGGUCUU